UUUUUGUUGAGCUUCACACUUGCAGAGGUUAAUACACUCUACUGAUCCCCGAUGGGAGAAUCAUCAAUUUUGGCAACAAAGAAGCCUGGUGGAUGUUUGUUUACAGUCUGAUGAUGGGACAUCAUGCUCUGCAUCUUCAAAUCUUUUCGCAGGAUCAGAAAACAAAACCAGGAGGCGCGUAAAUGUUUCUUCUGCAUGAUGUUUCUUCAAAUGUUUCUUCUGGAUGAUGAUAAGACUGUGACACGGGAUGCCACCUUUGGUCUUGUGAUGAAGCAAAGCUCAGGAAGAAGUGGGAUUAAAUGGUACCCACAUGUGUGAAGCACUGAGAAGGAUGUACAGGGGCACCUGCAGCCAAAUCCAAGCCUCAGCAGUUUGUGCUCACAGAUGGUGACGGUGUGGAGAGACGGUGGUGUUUCCUCAGAAGAACCAGCAGAGUCACAAAGGACACCAGUCCAUCUCACCACCUUGACUUGCUGACUGAUGUUCGUCUGCACUGCACAGAGGAAAUCAACUGACCGAGGAGUGUUUCUGAGUGAGGGGGAGAGGAGUCAUCAUCCAGGUAAAGUGACGUGGAUCAGUGGAUACACUUGUCUCCCCUUUAAAGGAGACGAUCCAAGUCAUCCUUAAAUAUGGGCAGCAUAUCAGUCUUGGACUGUCUAACCUGC
ensembl:lncRNA